AGUAAAAUCUUGAUCAGGAUAAUCCAUGAGAUGGAUUUGAAAGAUUGAAAUAUAAUGUGGAUGAAGUAAUCUUGGUUGACAAUUAACUUGAGACCAUCUUAGAGCAUUUAGAGUCAAAAGGAUGUAUUAUGCGAUAACCAUAUGCAUGAAUUUUCGAAUAUUCUUUUGUGAUAAUUCAACCUAUUUAGACGUCAGGAAUCAUUGCUAGAUGGUAUCUCGAUUAGUACA
rnacentral:lncRNA from 1 species